rnacentral:rRNA from 1 species
UACGUAGGGUGCAAGCGUUAAUCGGAAUUACUGGGCGUAAAGCGUGCGCAGGCGGUUCUAUAAGACAGAUGUGAAUCCCGGCUCAACCUGGGAACUGCAUUGUGACUGUAGAGCUGGAGUACGGCAGAGGGGAUGGAAUUCCGCGUGUAGCAGUGAAAUGCGUAGAUAUGCGGAGGACACCGAUGGCGAAGGCAAUCCCUGGGCCUGUACUGACGCUCAUGCACGAAGCGU